GCCUACGGGAGGCAGCAGUGGGGGAUAUUGCACAAUGGGGGAAACCCUGAUGCAGCGACGCCGCGUGGGCGAAGAAGUAUUUCGGUAUGUAAAGCCCUAUCAGCAGGGAAGAAGAGAUGACGGUACCUGAGUAAGAAGCACCGGCUAAAUACGUGCCAGCAGCCGCGGUAAUACGUAUGGUGCAAGCGUUAUUCGGAUUUACUGGGUGUAAAGGGAGCGCAGGCGGCACGGCAAGGCUGAUGGGAAAGCCCGCGGCCCAACCGCGGGACUGGAUUGGGAAAUACC
rnacentral:rRNA from 1 species